GGGGAUUUAGCUCAGUGGUAGAGCGCUUGCCUAGGAAGCCAAGGCCCUGGAUUCAGUCCCCA
rnacentral:tRNA from 1 species